AGGGGUAAAAACCUUUAAUACGGCAGUCAAAGAACAACACUUGACAGAGGAUGUCAGACGGCCCAAAAAAUAAUUGAAUUCAUCGGAUGAGAGCAACCGUUCUCAGCAGUGGAAGUUUGCCAUCGUUGCCUUAAAGAAGGCGUCUCAUCCUCCCAUCAGCAGUUGUCUUCAAAAAACGAAUGUGAUCCAGCAUCCUCCAAGGCGUCACAUCAUUUAUAAGUUGACAUCUACCGUCUUUGAGGGCCAGACGAUCAACCAACGCAUCUACGAGGAGAUCUUGUGAGGUUUGCGUCUUUCGGUGCGAGUUGUGGCAGGACAACUUGAGACUGCUUCACCAGGAGAACUCACACUGCAGUGUUUUCUCCCACUAAGACCUCUGGGACACCCAAGCAAGCAUGUGUUGCAUCCCUUCCCCCCUGCCUAGGAUGCUGCAAUACCUCCAUAAUGAAGUGAUGGUGCCUGUGGGCCUCUAAGCCAUUUGAAAUGCAACCAAACAAGGUCUCUGUGGAAAGCUCUGAAACAAAAGCACUCCUUUUUUCUGGGCAUUAAUUCAAGUAAGCACCAUUUUUUUCUCUUUUAAUAGCUCCAAAAGGACCAAUCAAGUCAAGGUUAACACACACACAAAGAGCAUGUUUGGUUCAAACAAUGAGCAAAAGUGUGCUCAUAAGAGUACCGGUGUGAUGAAAACUUGUUCUUCUCUUACGUGUUUUAUGAAUGGUUUUCCUAAACCAUAUAGUGAUGUUUCAUUGCAUACACAUCACAAUUUGAUCGACAGCCUGGAUCAUUUCAUUUUGGUUUCCUGCUAUAUGUAGCCACAGUUAUUGGAACGUCCAUUGUUACUGGAUCUGUGUAGAGGACGGCCAAAAGAAAAAUGAGUCUCUCGUAUCAGGAUGGGUGUGGAAUGGAACUUUUUCUGACCUUUUUACUGGAUGUGCAGAAGGAGGUUUUUUUUGCCUAAUCUACUGAUUUGAUUUUUUAGAUACAGUAUAUUGUUUUCAUUAUAUUUACAAGAUGAAUCCCUACAGUAUUCGCCAACCUUUUUUGCCUUACGUAUCUACCAAGUCUUUUUUCCAAACCGUGAGUGCACCCUCACUUU